UGGCAGUGUGGAGGCUGUAAUAAAGCCCAAGG
rnacentral:piRNA from 1 species